AUUGAACGCUGGCGGCAGGCCUAACACAUGCAAGUCGAACGAGUGGCGGACGGGUGAGUAAUGUCUGGGAAACUGCCUGAUGGAGGGGGAUAACUUCGGGACACGGUAGCUAAUACCGCAUACCAUCAGAUGUGCCCAGAUGGGAUUCGCUAGUUGGUGGGGUAACGGCUCACCAAGGCGACGAUCCCUAGCUGGUCUGAGAGGAUGACCAGCCACACUGGAACGGAGACACGGUCCAGACUCCUACGGGAGGCAGCAGUGGGGAAUAUUGCACAAUGGGAGCAAGCCUGAUACAGACAUGCCGCGUGUAUGAAGAAGGCCUUCGGGUUGUAAAGUACUUUCAGCGGGGAGGCGUUACCCGCAGAAGAAGCACCGGCUAACUCCGUGCCAGCAGCCGCGGUAAUUC
rnacentral:rRNA from 1 species